AUUGAACGCUGGCGGCAGGCCUAACACAUGCAAGUCGAGCGGAUGAAGGGAGCUUGCUCCUGGAUUCCGCGGCGGACGGGUGCGUAAUGCCUAGGAAUCUGCCUGGUAGUGGGGGAUAACGUCAGGAAACGGGCGCUAAUACCGCAUACGUCCUGAGGGAGAAAGUGGGGGAUCUUCGGACCUCAAGCUAUCAGAUGAGCCUAGGUCGGAUUAGCUAGUUGGUGGGGUAAAGGCCUACCAAGGCGACGAUCCGUAACUGGUCUGAGAGGAUGAUCAGUCACACUGGAACUGAGACACGGUCCAGACUCCUACGGGAGGCAGCAGUGGGGAAUAUUGGACAAUGGGCGAAAGCCUGAUCCAGCCAUGCCGCGUGUGUGAAGAAGGUCUUCGGAUUGUAAAGCACUUUUAGUUGGGAGGAAGAGCAGUAAGUUAAUACCUUGCUGUUUUGACGGUACCAACAGAAUAAGCACCGGCUAACUUCGUG
rnacentral:rRNA from 1 species